UACAGAGGCCACGAGCGUUAGGCGGAAUCACUGGGCUUAAAGCGUGUAUAGGUGGAUGGGUAAGUACCUUGUGAAAUCCCACGACUCAAUCGUGGAACUGCUUGGUAUACUGCCUGUCUUGAGGCACUCAGGGGCGAGCGGAACAGAUGGUGGAGCGGUGAAAUGCGUAGAUAUCAUCUGGAACGCCAAUGGUGAAGACAGCUCGCUGGGGGUGUUCUGACACUGAGACACGAAAGCCAGGGGAGCAAACGGG
rnacentral:rRNA from 1 species